rnacentral:rRNA from 1 species
GUCAAUCUGCCCAAUGAUUUAUAAUUUAAUGGCUGCAGUAUAACUAACUGUACAAAGGUAGCAUAAUCAAUUGUUUUUUAAUUGUUUUCUAGAAUGAAAGAAUUAAUGAGAUAUAUACUGUCUCAUAUAUAUUUAAUGAAUUUAAAUUUUUAGUAAAAAUGCUUAAAUAAUUUUAUGGGACGAUAAGACCCUAUAGAAUUUUAUAUUAAUAUWUUAUUAAUUAUUUAAUUAAAGUAUUAAUAUUUAAUUGGGAGGAUUAAUAAAUUUAAAAAACUUUAUUUUAAAAAUAAAACUUUGAUUUUAGAAUUUAAUUUUUGAUCUUUUAUUAUAAAUCAAAAGAAUAAAUUACCUUAGGGAUAACAGCGUAAUAUCUUUUUAAAGAUCGUAUUUAUAAAGAUGUUUGCGACCUCGAUGUUGAAUUAAGAUAAAUUUUAAACGGAGAAGUUUAAUAAUUAAGUCUG